CCUACGGGAGGCAGCAGUGGGGAAUCUUGCGCAAUGGGCGGAAGCCUGACGCAGCAACGCCGCGUGCGGGAAGAAGGCCUUAGGGUCGUAAACCGCUUUCAGGGGGGACGAAGCUUCCGGGGUUAAUAGCCUACGGGGUGACGGUACUCCCAAAAGAAGGUCCGGCUAACUACGUGCCAGCAGCCGCGGUAAUACGUAGGGACCGAGCGUUGUCCGGAAUCAUUGGGCGUAAAGAGCGUGUAGGCGGCUUGGUAGGUCUCGUGUGAAAUCCCGCGGCUCAACCGCGGAUCCGCACGGGAAACCCCUAAGCUCGAGUCCGGAAGAGGAGAGUGGAAUUCCUGGUGUAGCGGUGAAAUGCGCAGAUAUCAGGAAGAACACCCGUAGCGAAGGCGGCUCUCUGGGACGGUACUGACGCUGAGACGCGAAAGCGUGGGGAGCAAACAGGAUUAGAUACCCUGGUAGUCCACGCCGUAAACGAUGGGCGCUAGGUGUGGGAGGUGUCGACUCCUCCCGUGCCGAAGCUAACGCAUUAAGCGCCCCGCCUGGGGAGGUACGGCCGCGAGACUAAACUACAAUAGAAUAGACGG
rnacentral:rRNA from 1 species